rnacentral:rRNA from 1 species
CCUACGGGUGGCAGCAGUAGGGAAUCUUCGGCAAUGGACGGAAGUCUGACCGAGCAACGCCGCGUGAGUGAAGAAGGUUUUCGGAUCGUAAAGCUCUGUUGUAAGAGAAGAACGAGUGUGAGAGUGGAAAGUUCACACUGUGACGGUAUCUUACCAGAAAGGGACGGCUAACUACGUGCCAGCAGCCGCGGUAAUACGUAGGUCCCGAGCGUUGUCCGGAUUUAUUGGGCGUAAAGCGAGCGCAGGCGGUUAGAUAAGUCUGAAGUUAAAGGCUGUGGCUUAACCAUAGUACGCUUUGGAAACUGUUUAACUUGAGUGCAAGAGGGGAGAGUGGAAUUCCAUGUGUAGCGGUGAAAUGCGUAGAUAUAUGGAGGAACACCGGUGGCGAAAGCGGCUCUCUGGCUUGUAACUGACGCUGAGGCUCGAAAGCGUGGGGAGCAAACAGGAUGAGAUACCCUUGUAGUC